AUGGUAAUCAAGCAUAUGAUGCAUGGUUCUUGCGGUGCAUUGAACAAAUUAUGUCCAUGCACAAAGAAUCGUAUGUCAUGCAAGAACAAUUAUCCAAGGCCAUUUAACAAAACUACGAUUCAAGGCAAGGAGUCCUACCCAAUAUAUAGGAGGCGCGACGACGGCCGUACUAAAAUGGUCCGAAAUUGCACAUUAGAUAACAGGUGGGUGGUUCCUUACAAUCCGUAUCUGUUAAGGAUGUUCAACUGCCACACAAAUGUUGAGAUAUGCUCAAGCAUUAAAGCCAUUAAGUACCUCUUCAAGUACAUCUACAAGGGCCAUGACCGAGCAUCUGUAUUUGUAACUGACAAAGUAGAGGAAGUUGAAAUCGACGAGAUUAAGCAGUAG
rnacentral:rRNA from 1 species